UUCUUUUAGUUUUUAUUAAAGGUAUUUUCUGCUCUAUGAUUAAGAUGAUUAAAUGGCUGCAGUAUUUUGACUGUGCAAAGGUAGCAUAAUAAAUAGUUUCUUAAUUGGGAUCUGGUAUGAAUGGAUAAAUAAGGAAUCAUUUUUAUUUUUUUUAAUAUUUGAAUUUUAUUUUUUUGUAAAAAAGCUUAAUUGGUUUUUUGGGACGAUAAGACCCUAUAGAACUUUUAUUUAUUUAAUUUAACUAUUAUUUUAGCUUCUUUUAAGUUGUUAUUUUUUUUUAAAUUUUAAUUGGGGUGAUUAUUAAAAUUUAAACUUUAUUUUUCUUUAUCAUUUAUUUAUGAUUUUUUUUGAUCCUUAUUAUAUAUAAGAUUAUAAGAUAAGUUACCUUAGGGAUAACAGCGUAAUUUUAGUGGAAAGUUCAUAUUUAAACUAUAGUUUGCGACCUCGAUGUUGAAUUAAGAAUAAUUUUAGGUGUAGUGGCUUAAAUUUUAGUCUGUUCGACUUUUAGAAUCUUACA
rnacentral:rRNA from 1 species